GACGAACGCUGGCGGCGUGCUUAACACAUGCAAGUCGAACGGAAAGGCCCUGCUUGCAGGGUACUCGAGUGGCGAACGGGUGAGUAACACGUGGGUGAUCUGCCCUGCACUUCGGGAUAAGCCUGGGAAACUGGGUCUAAUACCGGAUAGGAGCCAUUUUUAGUGUUAUGGUUGGAAAGUUUUUUCGGUGUAGGAUGAGCUCGCGGCCUAUCAGCUUGUUUGUGGGGUAAUGGCCUACCAAGGCGGCGACGGGUAGCCGGCCUGAGAGGGUGGACGGCCACAUUGGGACUGGGAUACGGCCCAGACUCCUACGGGAGGCAGCAGUGGGGAAUAUUGCACAAUGGGCGCAAGCCUGAUGCAGCGACGCCGCGUGGGGGAUGACGGCCUUCGGGUUGUAAACUCCUUUCGCUAGGGACGAAGCUUUUUGUGACGGUACCUAGAGAAGAAGCACCGGCUAACUACGUG
rnacentral:rRNA from 1 species